CCAGAGUUCUGCGCGCGGAAGGGGCGGGGAGAGAUGGGGGCGGGGCGUCGCGGGACGCAUGCGCGCGGGCCUCCUUUGCCGGAGCCGCGCUCACGUCUGGGUCCCCGGAGCUGGAGGCGGGGCCGCCAUAUUUCCCGCGGGCCUCCGGCCAGGCUGUUCUUGCUCUAACCCGGCACCGGCUCGGAUUCCAAGGAAGCCGGUCCAGAGGGAAGAGACUGAGCUCAAGGGCAACCGUAGCGAGCCCUGAUGUCCGAGAAGGCUUCGUGGAGCCUAUCACAUCCGUCCCGCCCCUUCGUCUUCCCACCACCACGGCAGGCCUCCAUUCCUGGCCCAUUUUAGAGAUUGAGAAACCGAGCCUUCAUAGGGCGGCCCAGUGCCUUGGACAGAAACCCCAUAAAGUGCGGGAUGGAGAGGAGACAUUCCUCCACCCGUUUGCACUCACCUGGAUGUGUUUCUGGAGAUCUGGCACUUUAGGACAUUGACUGGCCCAGCCUUCGUGCCUCUCAUCUACUGGACUGCUCACUCACCACUAUUUGAAACCUGCACUGCUCUCUUCUGACCCUCAACAGGUGAGCUGCCUCCUCCCUUACAGCAGAAAUACUCUAAAGUAACAAUACUGUAGUCCCCAUUACCUCACCUCUCAUCCACUCCUCAGCCCACCCCACCCUAGCUUCAGCUAUUGAUGUGGGGUCGGUGAGCCGAGGAGUCGAAAGAAAGAUUUCUUGGACUCUCAAGAUCUGGCAGUAGUGCUCUUUUAUUUAGGGACUAGUGUGGAAUAGCAUGGGGACAGGACCCAUGGGCAGUCAGGCUGCUGCGUGGGGACAGGGCCCACGGGCAGGAGGAGCUGCUGCUGCUGCCCCAGCUACUGCCACCGCUUCUGCUGCUGCCGCCGCUUCUGCUACAAACAUUGGUGGAGAGUAAGGCUAAAUUUAAGGCCUUGCCUUCCCCAUUAAGAGUUUCUAGAGAUAAGGCCAUCCCCCUUCUUCCUGGCACAGAGAGGGAGGCCUCUUUACAGAUGGAGGUUUCCCUUACAAAUGUAACGUUUCCUAACAAAGGGUGAGCAAACUCCAGUCCUUGGAGCCUGCUUCUCAUCUGCAGUUUUAAAAUUAACCAGCCUAAAAUCCUCAUCACUAUCACUUCUCCAAAACAGCUCUUGCUAAGCUCACCAGUGACUUCCCACUCUUGUUGCUAAAUGGAGCUGACCUUUUUGGUCAUCAUCUUAACCUGAACCCCAGCAGUAUUGACGCUGUUGGCCUCUCUUUCCCUCUGGUUUGUGCGACACAUCACUCUCCUGGUUUUACUCCUGUUCUCUGUCUGCUCCAUCUUUCUCUUUUGCGGGCCCAACUUCUUCUGCCCAGCUAUGAAUUGAUG
rnacentral:lncRNA from 1 species